AACUUUCAACAACGGAUCUCUUGGCUCUCGCAUCGAUGAAGAACGCAGCGAAAUGCGAUAAGUAAUGUGAAUUGCAGAAUUCAGUGAAUCAUCGAAUCUUUGAACGCACCUUGCGCCCUUUGGUAUUCCGAAGGGCAUGCCUGUUUGAGUGUCAUUAA
rnacentral:rRNA from 1 species